rnacentral:rRNA from 1 species
UACGAACUGUGCGAACGUUAUUCGGAAUCACUGGGCUUACAGGGUGCGUAGGCGGCUUGUUAAGUAGGGUGUGAAAGCCCCCGGCUCAACCGGGGAAUUGCGCCCUAAACUGGCGAGCUGGAGUGAGAUAGGGGUGUGUGGAACUUCCGGUGGAGCGGUGAAAUGCGUAGAUAUGCGGAGGAACACCGAUGGCGAAGGCAGUCCCCUGGGCCAACACUGACGCUGAGUGAGCGAAAGCCAGGGGAGCAAACGGG